rnacentral:rRNA from 1 species
CCUACGGGUGGCUGCAGUGGGGAAUAUUGGGCAAUGGGCGCAAGCCUGACCCAGCAACGCCGCGUGAAGGAAGAAGGCUUUCGGGUUGUAAACUUCUUUUCUCAGGGACGAAGCAAGUGACGGUACCUGAGGAAUAAGCCACGGCUAACUACGUGCCAGCAGCCGCGGUAAUACGUAGGGGGCAAGCGUUAUGCGGAUUUACUGGGUGUAAAGGGCGUGUAGGCGGGGACGCAAGUCAGAUGUGAAAACGACGGUCUCAACCUGUGGCCUGCAUUUGAAACUGUGUUUAUUGAGUACUGGAGAGGCAGACGGAAUUCCUAGUGGUGCGGUGAAAUUCGUAGGUAUUAGGAGGAACACCAGUGGCGAAGGCGGUCUGCUGGACAGCAACUGACGCUGAGGCGCGAAAGCGUGGGGAGCAAACAGGAUUAGAUACCCUUGUAGUC